rnacentral:rRNA from 1 species
AUAGCGUAUAUUAAAGUUGUUGCAGUUAAAAAGCUCGUAGUUGAACUUCAGGCCUGGUUGGGCGGUCCGCUUAACAGCGUGUACUGUCUGACUGGGUCUUACCUCUUGGUGAGCCGGUGUGCCCUUUAUUGGUGUGCAUCGGGGAACCAGGACUUUUACCUUGAGAAAAUUAGAGUGUUCAAAGCAGGCCUAUGUCUGAAUACAUUAGCAUGGAAUAAUAGAAUAGGACGUGCGGUUCUAUUUUGUUGGUUUCUAGAGUCGCCGUAAUGAUUAAUAGGGAUAGUUGGGGGCAUUGGUAUUGAGUCGCUAGAGGUGAAAUUCUUGGAUUGACUCAAGACCGACUACUG